GGAAAUCCAUGUUUUGGCAUUCAGGAGAGAGCAGCAGACUAACCAAAAGAAAGACUUUCCAGUGGUCAAUGAGAUUAGUGGUCAAAAUGCUGUGAUUCUGUGUGUGUGAUGAGGGGCAAUCUUUUCAUUUCUCUAUAGCUUAGAUCUCUAUCACUAGGGAGCAAUUAACAUUCUCUUUGGUACUCUGAUAGAAGUGCUAUUUGCUUUUCGGCUGACAUUUUAAGGGCACUCAUACCUUCGCUUUAGAUUUGCACAUGUCUAAAGGCAGCAUCAAAUUCUCAUAUUCUCUCUUCACUUCUUGCAAGCUCCUCUGUAGAGGAGAGCUUGAAGGGAAGAAAAAGAAAAAAGUCACUAACUUGUCUCUUUUUUGCCUUUUUUGUACAGUCAUUUUCAACAAUGGGAACUUUCACAAGGAGUACACACACAAGGGAGCAAGAAGGAAGGAGAAUGCUCUCAGUAUGCCUAUUUCCAGGGGGAAAGAAAAAAACAAACGAAGGCAGGUUUGAGAUGAUGGUUGGGGGCUGAUGCUGCCUGGUUCCCUGCAGCUCCCUGAUCUGGGAAGGAGACUGUAGGAAAACCCUAUGUACUGGAAACAUUUCCUACAACAGAUCACUCGUCCAAUCAAAAAGUCUAUUAUCCAGCUUCUAUGAUAAAAUAUGCAGAGCUCUGACUUAACAGAAGGAGCUCUCUGCACUGGAAAUCUGGGGCAUCGUUCUGUUCCAUGCAAAAUUACAUUCAGUAAAAGGAGACAAGAAGUGACAUUUCAAGGAAGGGGAUUUGUGUUUGAGUCCUGGAGGUCAGCGUGCUGCUGUGAAAUACAAAGCUGGGAACUCAUGGAACCCACAGCCUGACCAACUCUGCUGUGACCGCAGCAAACUGAUCUCUGUGCUGCGUAUCACCCCGAGGAUUAAACAUUGUCCACCAAUACUAUAGCUGGAUGUCACCACAACUUGGUUACCCUUCUGGCUGAUUUAAGACCAAAAUGCCUCCGAACAACUGCCACACACAGAGCUGGGUGACUCGAGCCUCCUGGAGUGCAAGGGAUUACAACAGCCCAAGGGAUUAAAGCUAAACCAGCAGUGCUUAGGGAACUGGCUCCACAGAGAGAUUUAUGAUGGUUUGGUAACUGCAGUCUGCCAGUAGAAAUACAAAUUUUAAUAGCACAGGGAGUAAAACUAAUGUUGUACUUCUGCUAGCUGCUGCCUGCACGUUUGCUGAUGUUCUUAGUUUCUAAGUUCAGGGCCAGAAAACCUUACUCAUCACAGCCCUUAAUGCUGCUGUCCUACCACCUGGCUUGAUGAAUAAUUACUGGGAUUAAUCAUCGGAGGGGCCCUGCUCCUUCUUUAAACGUUGGUCUGAAAAAUUGCUCUCCUUGUGGAGGUUUUUAAGGGAUUUCUCAGUCUUUCUCUACCACCAUCCACAGUGCCUGAAAUUCAGUAGCAGCAGCAAACAAAAGGGACAAAAAGAGAGAUGGGAGCAUAAUUACCGCGUAUCAAAAUAGAGUGCUUUGGUAACUGUACCUCACAGGUGAUGUAGCAACACUUUGAUUCUGCCAGGCACUGGGGCUGACAGUCCCCUCCAUCACAGCCACCUCCUCUCCCCAGCUUAAUUGCCUUGCAAUUAGUUGUUGGGUGAAAAAAGUAAUCACUGGUGGUUAAUUGCUUCUCCCUGAAAUAUCUGUCUCUGGAACUGACACGGAGAAUGGUCUUAGUGCUUCUGUCCAUAGCAUCAUUUAGCAGAGAAAAUACAGUGAAUUUUUUUGAAAUAUCAGGGGAAGCUGCCAGCUCUCCUCCUGGGCUUGGAUGGCCAUUGGAUCGAUUUUCAUUACAAUGGGACACAAAUCAUUUGAUUUGCUCAGGCAACGAUGAGAAACCAUUCCUGGCCUGCAAGAGAUGCUGUAUCACAUAGAGAGCUGUGGAGAAGCAGAAACAGAGCUCAUUUGGUUGGAAGCAAGGGAAAGGAGGAGUGAUGCUGGGCACUGGCUGUCAGAGAGGCUCCUGGCUUUUUAGAAGGUGGAGUUGGGAUUUUACUGACCCUCCUCCCAUCUAGUUUUCACACCCAAGGCCUCCACCAAAUCUGUGCACCUUCAUGAUCACCACUCACAGACUCACCCCUUUGUUCAACACCUGCUUUGGCUCAGGAGAAGACUGAGGCUCUCUCUGACCUCCCCCCCAAAUUAUAGGUUGUCAUAAACUCAGUCUGUCGGGAACAAAGCUUUGAAUCUUUCCCAACCAGGCAUAUUUUCCAAAAUACACCUCUGUUUUAUCUGUCGUCCAGAAAUCAGAAAUACUGGGGUUCAACUUCUUUGCAGAUCUCCAAAGCCAGCUUAUUUCUAAUUCUAGGAGCCUCUUUGUUGUAUUUCCAUGCCCUCUCAAUACAACUUUGCCCUUCCUCUCAGUGGUGGGUGACUCUUUCUGUUUGGUGCUGGUUUCUAUUUUUGAGGAAGGUAAAAGUGAGCUGGUUAGAGUCAAAUAUAUAUGCAUGGCUAGCACAGCUUUCUAACUGGCAGGUAAGCUUCAGCAGGCUGGAUGUGAACAUUGAGCAUAGUUUGAUUGACCUGGUGGUGAUGGAUUGAUGGUUGGACCUGAUCUUAGUGGUCGUUUCUAUUCUUUGUGAUUCUGUGCUUUCAUUUCAUACAUUACAGCUGCUUCUCUCUUCUGUAUGUGGAACAGAACCCAGCAUACACUCAGCUGUAAUCAAACUAUGUCUGUUAAAAAAAUUGACACAAGAAAAUCAUGUGUGUGAUUCUAAGAUCUCCUGGUCAUUUGGGGAGAAUCUUUACAAAGAUUUUUAUCAAUCACAUGUAGGAGACUCACUCUGUGGAAGUUAUGGAGACACAGCCAUCACAUCAGUGCAGUUCCAUGAUUUACAAGAUGAAAUGCUCAUUCUGGGGAACGUGCCAUAAUUUUUAAUAAAAACAAUUAUGAAAUGGAGUUGCUGCCA
rnacentral:lncRNA from 1 species